rnacentral:rRNA from 1 species
GAACGCGAAGAACCUUACCAGGCCUUGACAUCUAGGAACCCUGAUGAAAGUCGGGGGUGCCCGCAAGGGAACCUAGAGACAGGUGCUGCAUGGCUGUCGUCAGCUCGUGUCGUGAGAUGUUGGGUUAAGUCCCGCAACGAGCGCAACCCUUGUCCUUAGUUGCUAACGGGUAAGCCGAGCUCUCUAGGGAGACUGCCCGCGAAAGCGGGAGGAAGGCGGGGAUGACGUCUAGUCCGCAUGGCCCUUACGGCCUGGGCGACACACGUGCUACAAUGCCCGGCACAGAGCGCUGCCACAUCGCAAGAUGGAGCGAAUCGCUAAAUCCGGGCCCAGUUCGGAUUGGGGUCUGCAACCCGGCCCCAUGAAGCUGGAAUCGCUAGUAAUCGCGGAUCAGCCAUGCCGCGGUGAAUACGUUCCCGGGUCUUGUACACACC